GUGUCUUGAUCUGUUGCUCAGGCUGAAUGCAGUGGUGCGAUCACAACUCACUGCAGCCUCAAACUCCUGGGCUAAAGCCAUCCUCCUGCUUUAGCCUCCCCAGCAGCUGGGACUAUAGGCAUGUGCAACCACGCCCAGCUAAUCUUUAAUUUUUUGUAGAGACAGGGUUUCACUGUGUUGCCUAGGCUGGUCUCAAACUCCUGGGCUCAAGCGAUCCUCUUGCCUCAGCCUCCCAAAGUGCUAGGAUUACAGGUAUAAGCUACUGUGCCAGGGUGAGGCAUAAAGUUUUUUGUUGUUGUUGUUGUUUUGUUUUUGUUUUUUGAGACCAAGUUUCACUCUUGUUGCCCAGGCUGGAGUGCAAUGGUAUGAUCUUGGCUCACCGCAACCUCUGCGUCCUGGGUUCAAGUGAUUCUCCUGCCUCAGCCUCCUGAGUAGCUGGGAUUACAGGCAUGCGCCACCAUGCCCAGCUAAUCUUUUUGUAUCUUUAGUAGAGAUGGGGUUUCUCCAUGUUGGUCAGGCUGGCCUCGAACUCCCAACCUCAGGUGAUCCGCCCGCCUCGGCCUCCCAAAGUGCUGGGAUUACAGGCGUGAGCCACCACACCUGGCCCGGCAUAAAGUUUUAAUUUAAGCAAAAAGCAAGUAAUAAAAGUACUGUCAGCCACGGCCUAUUGAGGGACCACAUGCUGUGUUCUAAACACUUUCCAGGAAUUAUCUCAUUUAGGUCUCCGGACAAUCUUGAUGGAAAUUCUCCCCACUUUACAGAUGAGAAAACUGAGGCUGAGGGAGGGGGUUGCCCAAGGUCACAGAGGUAGCAAGUGUUAGACAUGUGGUUUGUAUCUAGGUCUAUCUGGUUCCAAAGUCCAUGCUGCUAACCAUUUCACCACAUCAGAAUGUCAAGGACAGCUCAUCUGAAAGGAAAAAGCCUCAACAAGGCAAGAGGUCAUGCCCCAAAGGUCUCCAGCUGACCCACGUGGAAGUAUGAAGUCAGCAGCUGCUGCGUCCCAGCCUCCUGAUCCCCUCGACCUGAGAGGCUGGGAGCACCCAGGGAGGAAGGAAUGUCCCAGCUGAGCACUUCUCCAGCUUGUCUGCCUUCACUGGCUACUGCAAUCCUCAGGCAGGCUGACCCGGCCCUCCCUCCCCAUCUCCUGGCAUCACAGCAAGGCCAGGGCAUGACAGUGUCCCUGGCUCAGGGGCAAGGCACCCAAACACUGAGAUGCCAAGAUCCAGCUACCCACACUGAGGUAAGGGAGGAGAAGGAUGAGGGAGGGGCGGCAGGGCAGGGAAGAUGGAGGGUUCACAGGGCACCUUGAAAUCCGACAGCGAAGCCAUCAGCUCGUCCAGCUCCCUGGUGGCAGAGGAGGCCGAGAUGCGUGUCUGCUGUUGGGUGGAGGUGACGCGCUGCGGGCUGCUCAUCUCGCCCUGGUUCACAGUGAUGGCAGGGCUGCAGGGUGGGCACAGCAUCAGUGGGGAGCCCACAGUCAGCCCCACACUUCCCGGGGAUCAGAUCGACCUCUCACCUCGGACACUGGGGUCUCACCAUCCCCAACCCCAGGGAGGUCCACCAGCUCCCUGUCUCUCCUGGGGACCCAUCACUGGGUCAGAAGAAAGGGCAGUUCAAUGGCACCAGGAAGUGCCAGGAAGACUCCUCUAGCCCCCAGCCCAAGUGAAAGCUGGCCUGCGAAACAAGCCCAAGCGCCCUGUGUUUCCUCCACAACACUGGACAUGGAGGUGAGGCUACUGCAGUAACACGACGGCACUGGUAAGAGCUCGCGUGUUGGGCACUCACCAUGUGUGCCACGCACUACACACCAGAAACCAUUCCAAGCGCUUUACAUGGAUUACUGGUUCUCACCCUUACUGAGGUAGGUGGUCUUAUCCCAGUGAUCCCAUAAGUUCUUGUCCCAUUUUACAGAUGGGAAAACUAAGGCUUGAGAGCUGACAGUAACUGUCAGAGCCAAGAUGUGAACCCCACUGUGUGGCCCCAAAGCCUGUGCUAAGAGCUGCUAAGCUCCAGGCGCCCUCAGCCUGCACAACGUCUGUCCUUUCUGACUGGCAGUGACUGGCUGAAGGCAGGGAUGGUGUCCAUGUGACUCACCACUAUCCCCCCAGUGCCUGGCAAAUGGCAGACACGGGAGGGAGUGGGUGAUACCAGGGCUAAGGGGACAGACACUGGACCCGGGGCAGGCUGGGCCAGCCCUUCCCCACCUGGGGAGGGCCCAGUGGGUACUCACACGGGGCUGGGCACGGAGCUCUCCAGUUCAUCCAAGAGACUCUCCACACUGGGCCGCACGUCCUCCAGGCCCCGGCCCCCAUUCCGCUUAGGCUUCUCUUUCGUCAGGGGCCCAGCUUUG
ensembl:lncRNA novel transcript, antisense to PXN